GUUACUCCUCACACGUUCUUGUCAACUGCUGGAAGUGGCCCAUCUUGGUUAUCACUACAAAAGUUUGUCCCCAUCUUUCCUGAAAUGUGGUAUCAGGAACUGGACACAAUACUCCAGAUGAGGCUUAAUCAGCACAGAGUGGAGCAGAAGAAUUACUUCUUGUGGAACUGCGGCCAAUGGGAGCUUCGGAGGAGGUACCCGCAGGCGAAGGCAGCACGCAGAGCCCUCUGCCCCCGCCUCCCCCAGGGGGCCGCAGGGAUGUGGUGCCGGCCGCUUCCAGGAGCAAAGUGGGGUCAGGGCAGGCAGGGAGCCUGCCCUGGCCCCACUGUGUGCUACUGCCACCCUGGAGCUGCUCCAGCCGCAAAUCUAUCAGACCCUGCAGUAGUACAAACAUCCAUGCUAUCAGAUUCCAUUGCAGAACUCGGCAUGAAAGACGUUUUCUUAGGUGAGGUACUACUGCUGUGCCUUCAUCCAUCCACUCUCAUCGCACAGCCAAAAACUCUUCUUUCUGAUGGGCUCAAAUCUGAAUAAAGACUAUCAUUUCGUCUAACUACUAUAUGGCUCUCAUUACUCUCCCCAAAUCUCACCUGACUGGAAAAACCAUUAUAAUUUUUGUCCUAAACAAUUGCCAUCA